GACGAACGCUGGCGGCGUGCUUAACACAUGCAAGUCGAACGAUGAAGCCUAGCUUGCUAGGUGGAUUAGUGGCGAACGGGUGAGUAAUACGUGAGUAACCUACCUUUAACUCUGGGAUAAGCCCGGGAAACUGGGUCUAAUACCGGAUACGACCAAUCUCCGCAUGGGGUGUUGGUGGAAAGCGUUAUGUAGUGGUUAUAGAUGGGCUCACGGCCUAUCAGCUUGUUGGUGAGGUAACGGCUCACCAAGGCGACGACGGGUAGCCGGCCUGAGAGGGUGACCGGCCACACUGGGACUGAGAGACGGCCCAGACUCCUACGGGAGGCAGCAGUGGGGAAUAUUGCACAAUGGGCGCAAGCCUGGUGCAGCGACGCCGCGUGAGGGAUGACGGCCUUCGGGUUGUAAACCUCUGUUAGCAGGGAAGAAGAGAGAUUGACGGUACCUGCAGAGAAAGCGCCGGCUAACUACGUG
rnacentral:rRNA from 1 species